AAAUUGGAAGAAACAUGAGCGAUAAAAAAGGAAGCACUUCAAACCAUGGCUUGAAUUUGAACAUACCCCCACCAAGGGUUGCCAAUCAGAUACCUGAUUCACCAACUCGAUUACCAAUAGCGCCACCAACAUCACCAUCAAGCUCAUGUGUGUCUAGCGAACUAAGCCAAGAUGACAACAGCAGCAGCAGCAGCAACAGAAACAACAACUGCGGCUGCACUCGGAGCCCUGAAGACAUUUCCAUGGUGCUAGUUGGGAGUUCUCAUUGCCUUAUGUAUAUGAUGGUCAAUGAGGGUGAACCCAAGUGCCCCAAUUGCAAAAGCACCACUUUGAUUCAUUUUCUUAAUUACAACAACAUCCCAUAAGGAGGGGACACAACGCUAUGCUACCUUGCUGCGAUUUCUGCAUUUUGUGCCGCAAGUAGGAUAAGUUAGCUUUUAAAAAAAACAGCAAUCUCCUUUUUAGGAAAUUUCUUUUAUCUUAUGUUUUCUAAGUUUUUCCUAAACCUUUCUUUAUGAGUUGUGCUACUUGCGCUCCACUUUUUACCUUUAUCUCCUCUUCUUAGUAAGGAAAUCACAAAAGAGUUUAAGUGUAAGUAGCACUACAUGUUAGGGAGGUUACUCUCAAUAAAUGGUUGUCUCACCAAGUUUACCAUCUUAAAUAUUAGGUUAGGAAAUUUCCUCCAUCAGUAUGGCUAAUUAACAUAUCAUGUAAACCUGAUUAUAUAAAAUAAGAGAAUGAAUCGCAAGGUAUUUCAAUUAUCUAUCAUUGAUUUUCUUAUUUGAUUCACACAUGAGUUAGACAGUUUUCAUUUUUGACUUAUUAUGAAUAUGAAAUUAUUCGACGUUGUCAAUAAUUAUAAUUUUAUUAUAUUUUAUAUCAUUUUCUUAUUUCUAAUUUGACCUCUACUAACUACUAAUAACUAAAUCAAGCAACAUUGGCAACUAAGUGUCAAUAGGCAUAAUUGGAAAUUGGAAAUUGGGAAUAAAUGAAUAUCAUCAAAAUAUAUGUUGAUUUUAACUUUUCAAAUAUUAUUUAUCCUUACUACCUAAACGUUUUAAGUCUUUUGAGUGUGAAUGAUCAAUGUUUGAAUGAAUUUGUGUUAUUAUGAUACAUGAGACUGAUUUAAUAGGUCUUUCUGAUAACCAAUAGAAUAUGACAUGUUAUCAAAGUCACGGUGUCUUAAUGAGUGAUUAAAAGAAGUUAAUAGGGCCAUCUGUUUGCUCGGAUGUUACAACGAAUAAAUAGUUGCAUCAUCACGUCAAACCAUCGUAAAUAUUGAACGGAGUUUUGGUUUUGUGCUUCAAGCUUUUUAAAAACGACAACUUAUUUUUAAUUCUUUUAAAAGAAGUUUUCAAGAUGGGGUUAGUUUUUGUUUUCUCCAAUUUUUAGUUUUAAUAUAAACUCAUUUUGAAAGUUUCAUAUCCUAUGAAAUUAGUUUAAGAUUGUUUUUUGUGCGGUGGUGACAGCAAUGUUGUAGGUGAUUACAACAUGGUGAUGGUGGUGCCGAUGUCGACUGUGGCAUUGGUGGUGGCAAUAUUGAUGACAAUUGUGGUUUUGCGGAGGAUGGUAGUCGUUGCAUAGGUGGUGAUCGUGGUAGUAGUGUCGGUGCAUAUGGUUAUGGUGGUGGUGGUAGCGGUGCCGGUGGUGGUGGUGGCAAUAGCGAUAGCGAUGCCGAUGAUAAUGUUGGUGGUGAUAGAGGUGCCGAUGGUGGUGGUGAUUGCAAAAAAAAUGAAAAAUGUCAAAUGUAAGAAGUUUGCUUUUGUAAAAAAUAAAAACCCUUAUUUUUUAGAAUAACCACGCAAAAUACUAAAAGCAUUUGAUUAUGCAGGUGAUUACAACACGGUAGUGGCGGGGUUUCGCAUGUUCGUUGCUACCUCCAUUAUCGCCGGAGAAGGGAAACCUUAACGCUGGAUUAUUCUUGUUUGCCUAAGAAGUGUAUGAACAACGAUGCCGUUAAGGAGUGAAAAUAAGUGGAGUUGAAGGAAGACUGUUUUACUAAUAAGUGGAGUGGAAAGAAGAUAGUAAUGAGCUGGCAAUGAAGGUGGAGGUAUUCGAGGUACCGCGUUCGACGAUGGUGGCAUGGUGCGGUCGGGAGUGGUGGUGGUUUUCGUUGGAGAAGGGGAGGAGGUGAAGAAGGUAAAUACGUGGCAGUGACUAGGCUUGAUGACGUGACACUCUGUCUGCCAUUUCAUCACUUAACGGAAAGGGACUAACUGCAGGCAUUACGUUGAAACGUAAAAAAAAUUCAGGUACUAAGUUGAAAAAAAUGAAUGUUAGGUAGUAAUCUGAAUACCGCCUAUUUUCCAAAUUUGAAAGACUUAAUUAUGAGAUUUUACGAGUAGAUUUUGAAGCAAUAAUAUUUGAGUUUACUUGUUGGUUUUUACUUUGUUUCAUUAUCUAAUCCAAGAACUUGAGAAGAAAAGGUCAUACUCCUUGAUAUCUUCGAAUUUCCAAGCAAGAAACAAGAGAAGCAAAAAUCAGAAACGUGUUUGAUGCAAAAACUUGCUUGAUCGAUUUGCGUGUCACUAUCCUACCCCUCUUCUAGUAACCAACUGAUCCACUUCAAUUUUACAUUAUCAAUUAUUAGAAUUUAAUUAGCUUUUAUAUAGUUUUGUUGUAUCCAAUUCAACCUCUAGUUAAAUACUAAAAACUUGGCAAGACAACAUUGACAACUGAUCUCAAUAGGCAAAAGAGAAUAUCAUCAAAACAACAAGGAAUAAAAAGGAAAAUAAAUUGAAUACCAUCAAAAUAUAUGUGGUUCUUAAAUUUUCUUUUAGUUUUAAAAUAUGAAUUAUUCUUGCAAGCUAGAACAUUCUACAUCUUUUGAGUAUGGAGAUUCAACAUUUGAAUGAACCAACUUUACUAUGUCACAUGACACUUAUUUAAUAUGUCUAUCUGAUAUCCGAUAGGAUACGACAGGGUGUCUUACAGAGUGAUUAAGAGAAGUUAUGGGGGUCGUUUGUUUGCGCAGAUGUUAUGCUUAAUAAAUAGUUGCCCAUCAAGUCAAACCAUCUUAAAUAUUCAAUGAAAAAUUCAAUUUUCUCAUUCAAUACGGUCAUAAAUAAAUAAUAUAAACCCGAUUAAAUUUUCAUGAAAAUUACAUAUUACUCCAAUUUGCUUUUAUUUCCCUUUAUUGUCUUUAAUUCAAACCUUUGUUAAAUAUUAAAAACUUAAUAAAAUAAUGUUGGCAAUUAAUUGUAAACCGAAAAGAGAAAUAAAUUUUAAUCUAAAAAUACAUAUAUGCUUUAAGUCACCCCCUACAUUUUCAUCCUAUAAAAUGCCUCCCUUGGCCUUCAACACAAAACCAUUCACCCCCCUUUCUUUUCUCGUUCACAGCUUGGCUUCCCUUUAGGCAAAGCUUGAUCCUUCAAGCCUUUUAAGGUACACAGGUACUCAUUGUGCUCUUUUCUUCUUAAUUAGAAAUUUUUAUCGGCAUCAUUUAUCUAACAGUUUGAGUCAAAAUAGGUAGCAUCCUUUGGCCAAAAUUGGAAGAAACAUGAGCGAUAAAAAAGGAAGCACUUCAAACCAUGGCUUGAAUUUGAACAUACCCCCACCAAGGGUUGCCAAUCAGAUACCUGAUUCACCAACUCGAUUACCAAUAGCGCCACCAACAUCGCCAACAAGCUCAUGUGUGUCCAGCGAACUAAGCCUAGAUGACAACAGCAGCAGCAGCAGCAGAAAAAACAACAACCGCGGCUGCACUCGGAGCCCUGAAGACAUUUCCAUGGUGCUAGUAGGGUGUUCUCGCUGCCUUAUGUAUAUGAUGGUCAAUGAGGGUGAACCCAAGUGCCCCAAAUGCAAAAGCACCACUUUGAUUCAUUUUCUUAAUUACAACAACAUCCCAUAAGGAGGGGACACAAUGCUAUGCUACCUUGCUGCGAUUUCUGCAUUUUGUGCCGCAAGUAGGAUAAGUUAGCUUUUAAAAAAAAAGGAAUCUCCUUUUUAGGACAUUUCUUUUAUCUUAUGUUUUCUAUCUUUUUCCUAAACCUUUCUUUAUGAGUUGUGCUACUUGCGCUCCACUUUUUACCUUUAUCUCCUCUUCUUAGGAAGGAAAUCACAAAAGAGUUUAAGUGUAAGUAGCACUACAUGUCAGGGAGGUUACUUUUAAUAAAUGGUUGUCUCACCAAGUUUACCAUCUUAAAUAUUAGCUUAGGAAAUUUCCUCCAUCAGUAUGGAUAAUUAACAUAUCAUGUAAACCUGAUUAUAUAAAAUAAGAGAAUGAAUCGCAAGGUAUUUCAAUUAUCUAUCAUUGAUUUUCUUAUUUGAUUCACAUAUGAGUUAGACAGUUUUCAUUUUUGACUUAUUAUGAAUAUGAAAUUAUUUUUCGUUGUCAAUAAUUAUAAUUUUAUUAUCUUUUAUAUCAUUUUCUUAUUUCUAAUUUGACCUCUACUAACUACUAAUAACUGAAUCAAGCAACAUUGGCAACUAAGUGUCAAUAGGCAUAAUUGGAAAUAGGAAAAUGGGAAUAAAUGAAUAUCAUCAAAAUAUAUGUUGAUUUUAACUUUUCAAAUAUUAUUUAUCCUUACUACCUAAACUUUUUAAGUCUUUUGAGUGUGAAUGAUCAAUGUUUGAAUGAAUUUGUGUUAUUAUGAUACAUGAGACUGAUUUAAUAGGUCUGUCUGAUAACCAAUAGAAUAUGACACGUUAUCAAAGUCACGGUGUCUUAAUGAGUGAUUAAAAGAAGUUAAUAGGGCCAUCUGUUUGCUGGGAUGUUACAACGAAUAAAUAGUUGCAUCGUCACGUCAAACCAUCGUAAAUAUUGAACGGAUUUUUGGUUUUGUGCUUCAAGCUUUUUAAAAACAACAACUUAUUUUUAAUUCUUUUAAAAGAAGUUUUCAUGUUGGGGUUAGUUUUUGUUUUCUCCAAUUUUUAGUUUUAAUAUAAACUCAUUUUGAAAGUUUCAUAUCCUAUGAAAUUAGUUUAAGAUUGUUUUUGUGUGGUGGUGACAGUAAUGUUGUAGGUGAUUACAACAUGGUGAUGGUGGUGCCGAUGUCGACUGUGGCAGUGGUGGUGUCAAUAUUGAUGACAAUUGUGGUUUUGGGGAGGAUGGUAGUCGUUGCAUAGGUGGUGAUUGUGGUAGUAGUGUCAGUGCAUAUGGUUAUGGUGGUGGCGGUAGCGGUGCCGAUGGUGGUGGUGGCAAUAGCGAUAGCGGUGCCGAUGAUAAUGUUGGCAAAAAAAAUGAAAAAUGUCAAAUGUAAGAAGUUUGCUUUUGUAAAAAAUAAAAACCCUUAUUUUUUAGAAUAACCAUGCAAAAUACUAAAAGCAUUUGAUGAUGCAGGUGAUUACAACACGGUAGUGGCAGGGUUUCGCAUGUUCGUUGCUACCUCCAUUAUCGCCGGAGAAGGGAAACAUUAACGCUGGAUUAUUCUUGUUUGCCUAUGAAGUGUAUGAACGACGAUGCCGUUUAGGAGUGAAAAUAAGUGGAGUGGAAGGAAGACUGUUUUACUAAUAAGUGGAGUGGAAGGAAGACAGUAAUGAGCUGGCCAUGAAGGUGGAGGUAUUCGAGGUGGCGCGUUCGACGGUGGUGGCGUGGUGCGGUCGGCAGUGGUGGUGGUUUUCGUUGGAGAAGGGGAGGAGGUGAAGAAGGCAAAUACGUGGCAGUGACUAGGCUUGAUGACGUGACACUCUGUCUGCCAUGCCAUCACUUAACGGAAAGGGACUAACUGCAGGCACUACGUUCAAACGUAAAAAAAUUUCAGGUACUAAGUUGAAAAAAAAUGAAUGUUAGGUAGUAAUCUGAAUACGGCCUAUUUUCCAAAUAUGAAAGACUUAAUUAUGAGAUUUUAUGAGUAGCUUUUGAAGCAAUAAUAUUUGAGUUUACUUGGUGGUUUUUACUUUGUUUCAUUAUCUAAUCCAAGAACUUGAGAAGAAAAGGUCAUACUCCUUGAUAUCUUCGAAUUUCCGAGCAAGAAACAAGAGAAGCAAAAAUCAGAAACGUGUUUUAUGCAAAAAAUUGCUUGAUCGGUUUGCGUGUCACUAUCCUACCCCUCUUCUAGUAACCAACUGAUCCACUUCAAUUUUACAUUAUCAAUUAUUAGAAUUUAAUUAGCUUUUAUAUAGUUUUGUUGUAUCCAAUUCAACCUCUAGUUAAAUACUAACAACUUGGCAAGACAACAUUGACGGCUGAUCUCAAUAGGCAAAAGAGAAUAUCAUCAAAACAACAAGGAAUAAAAAGGAAAAUAAAUUGAAUAUCAUCAAAAUAUAUGUUGUUCUUAAAUUUUCUUUUAGUUUUAAAAUAUGAAUUAUUCUUGCUAGCUAGAACAUUCUAUGUCUUUUGAGUAUGGAGAUUCAACAUUUGAAUGAACCAACUAUACUAUGUCACAUGACUCUUAUUUAAUAUGUCUAUCUGAUAUCCGAUAGGAUAUGACAUGGUGUCUUAAAGAGUGAUUAAGAGAAGUUAAGGGGUUCGUUUGUUUGCCCAGAUGUUAUGCUUAAUAAAUAGUUGCCCGUCAAGUCAAACCAUCUUAAAUAUUCAAUGAAAAAUUCACUUUUCUCAUUCAAUACGGUCAUAAAUAAAUAAUAUAAACCUGAUUAAAUUUUCAUGAAAAUUACACAUUACUCAAGUUGCUUUUAUUUCCCUUUAUUGUCUUUAAUUCAACCCUUUGUUAAAUAAUAAAAACAUAAUAAAAUAAUGUUUGCAAUUAAUUGUAAACCGAAAAGAGAAAUAAAUUUUAAUCUAAAAAUACAUAUAUGCUUUAAGUCACCCCCUACAUUUUCAUCCUAUAAAAUGUCUCCCUUGGCCUUCAACACAAAACCAUUCACCCCACUUUCUUUUCUCGUUCACAGCUUGGCUUCCCUUUAGGCAAAGCUUGAUCCUUCAAGCCUUUUAAGGUACACAGGUACUCAUUGUGCUCUUUUCUUCUUAAUUAGAAAUUUUAAUGGGCAUCAUUUAUCUAACAGUUUGAGUCAAAAUAGGUAGCAUCCUUUGGCCAAAAUUGGAAGAAACAUGAGCGAUAAAAAAGGAAGCACUUCAAACCAUGGCUUGAAUUUGAACAUACCCCCACCAAGGGUUGCCAAUCAUAUACCUGAUUCACCAACUCGAUUACCAAUAGCGCCACCAACAUCACCAUCAAGCUCAUGUGUGUCCAGCGAACUAAGCCAAGAUGACAACAGCAGUAGUAGCAGCAACAAGAUCAACAACUGCGGCUGCACUCAGAGCCCUGAAGACAUUUCCAUGGUGCUAGUAGGGUGUUCUCGCUGCAUUAUGUAUAUGAUGGUCAAUGAGGGUGAACCCAUGUGCCCCAAAUGCAAAAGCACCACUUUGAUUCAUUUUCUUAAUUACAACAACAUCCUAUAAGGAGGGGACACAAUGCUAUGCUACCUUGCUGUGAUUUCUGCAUUUUGUGCCGCAAGUAGGAU
rnacentral:lncRNA from 1 species